rnacentral:rRNA from 1 species
UACGUAGGGUGCAAGCGUUGUCCGGAAUUAUUGGGCGUAAAGAGCUCGUAGGCGGUUUGUUGCGUCGGCUGUGAAAUCCCGAGGCUCAACCUCGGGUCUGCAGUCGAUACGAGCAAACUAGAGUGUUGCAGGGGAGACUGGAAUUCCUGGUGUAGCGGUGAAAUGCGUAGAUAUCGUAAGGAAGACCAGUGGCGAAGGCGG